UUCCGGUUGAUCCUGCCGGACCUGACUGCUAUCGGAUUGAUACUAAGCCAUGCGAGUCUUUGCAGUAAUGCAAGGCAUACGGCUCAGUAACACGUAGUCAACUUACCCUAUGGACGAGGAUAAUCUCGGGAAACUGAGCAUAAUACUCGAUAGAUCAUAAUGCCUGGAAUGGUUUAUGGUUGAAAUGAUUCGUCGCCAUAGGAUGGGACUGCGGCCUAUCAGCUUGUUGGUGAGGUAAUGGCCCACCAAGGCGAUUACAGGUACGGGCUCUGAGAGGAGAAGCCCGGAGAUGGGUACUGAGACAAGGACCCAGGCCCUAUGGGGCGCAGCAGGCGAGAAAACUUUGCAACGUGCGAAAGCACGACAAGGUUAAUCCGAGUGAUUUCUGCUAAAGAAAUCUUUUGCAAGUCAUAAAACCACUAGUGAAUAAGGGGUGGGCAAGUUCUGGUGUCAGCCGCCGCGGUAAAACCAGCACCUCAAGUGGUCAGGAGGAUUAUUGGGCCUAAAGCAUCCGUAGCCGGCUCUGUAAGUUUUCGGUUAAAUCCAUGUGCUCAACGCAUGGGCUGCCGAAAAUACUGCAUAGCUAGGGAGUGGGAGAGGUAGACGGUACUCGGUAGGAAGGGGUAAAAUCCUUUGAUCUAUCGAUGACCACCUGUGGCGAAGGCGGUCUACCAGAACACGUUCGACGGUGAGGGAUGAAAGCUGGGGGAGCAAACCGGAUUAGAUACCCGGGUAGCCCCAGCUGUAAACGAUGCAGACUCGAUGAUGCAUUGGCAUAUAGCCAGUGCAGUGUCGCAGGGAAGCCGUUAAGUCUGCCGCCUGGGAAGUACGUACGCAAGUAUGAAACUUAAAGGAAUUGGCGGGGGAGCACCACAAGGGGUGAAGCCUGCGGUUCAAUUGGAGUCAACGCCGGG
rnacentral:rRNA from 1 species